UACGUAGGGUGCGAGCGUUGUCCGGAAUUAUUGGGCGUAAAGGGCUCGUAGGCGGUUUGUCAUGUCAGGAGUGAAAACUCGGGGCUCAACCCCGAGCCCGCUUCUGAUACGGGCAGACUAGAGGUAUGCAGGGGAGAACGGAAUUCCUGGUGUAGCGGUGAAAUGCGCAGAUAUCAGGAGGAACACCGAUGGCGAAGGCAGGUCUCUGGGCCACUACUGACGCUGAGAAGCGAAAGCGUGGGGAGCGAACAGG
rnacentral:rRNA from 1 species